AUUGAACGCUAGCGGGAUGCUUUACACAUGCAAGUCGAACGGCAGCGCGGACUUCGGUCUGGCGGCGAGUGGCGAACGGGUGAGUAAUGUAUCGGAACGUGCCCAGUAGCGGGGGAUAACUACGCGAAAGCGUAGCUAAUACCGCAUACGCCCUACGGGGGAAAGCAGGGGAUCGUAAGACCUUGCACUAUUGGAGCGGCCGAUAUCGGAUUAGCUAGUUGGUGAGGUAACGGCUCACCAAGGCGACGAUCCGUAGCUGGUUUGAGAGGACGACCAGCCACACUGGGACUGAGACACGGCCCAGACUCCUACGGGAGGCAGCAGUGGGGAAUUUUGGACAAUGGGGGCAACCCUGAUCCAGCCAUCCCGCGUGUGCGAUGAAGGCCUUCGGGUUGUAAAGCACUUUUGGUAGGAAAGAAACGUCGCGGGCUAAUACCCCGUGGAACUGACGGUACCUGCAGAAUAAGCACCGGCUAACUACGUG
rnacentral:rRNA from 1 species